rnacentral:lncRNA from 1 species
CUCAAAAGCCUGAAGCAAUGACAAAGGCUGUUCAAAGUGCUGAGGAACCAAGGAAAUGUACAUAUUUGGCUUAAUUCAUAAAACUGUCAUUGAAGGCCAGCUAAGAAGACGAAGAUUUUUGUCCAGGAUCUGCAGCUGUGAGACCACAGAAAGUUUGUUGACUCAUGACCUAGAUGACUGCAAGAGCCUACAAUGAAGUCCCUCUGCAAACAGAAGCAAAAGGCACAGUCUGCUCCUCCUAAAGCAAGUCCACAUCUCUACUCCAGAAAAGAGCAAACUAUUUACAACUAUUUAAAUACAGCCUUUUCAUCUUAAAAAUUACAUUAAGUUUCUGGAAUUCUGAUAUACCCAAUUCCAAGUAAGCAUGCUUUGAGCUGAAUUGAGCCUUUAGGAGUUGGAAUAUUUGGGACCUAGUCCCCAACCAAGUCUUCAGGACUUCUCAAAUAAUUAAUUCAGGCCAUACAAGAGAUUUGGUGAAUGAUACAGAGCAGUAGAAGUCCCAUAAAUGGGGGAAAGAGAAGACAUAGGGGUUACAGGAGAGGAGAGAAGGGUAUUGUUAGGGAAGUACAUGAAGUCAUAAAGUAGCACUUACUGAAGACCUGGGAUUUUCUAAUUAAGCCCAAGCAAUUCUCCUGAAUUCAGUUCAAUUUAUGGGUUCGUAUGCUAAAGAAAAAAAAU